rnacentral:lncRNA from 1 species
CCUCCCAUACAGAGCGCAUACUUUUGGUGGAAUUCCUGUUGUGUGGGAGACCAGCUUAGUUCCAUUCACACACUCACACUCCCAGAUGUGGCCCCAUGGGUUUAUUCCUGUCUCGCUGUUUCAACAGUCAGACGUUUGUUCUUCAGGCUGCUUGCUCCAGUAUCCUCGUCAGACAACCGCAGGGAGCCUUUGUGCAUUUAUUUAUUUAUUUGCUUGGUAUGCUUCAGUGUUUUGGGGGCUUUUCUUCCCACUGAGACUUGUAAUAUGAACAAAACAUGCAGUCACUUCCCACCAGGAUGUGUCCUUCUGGACAUCAGCAUACGUGCAAGAUGACAAUUUCAGGGUGAAUGCUUCCUGCUCGUUGGCUUUGCUGCUGGCUGGUAUAUGAGUAGCACUGGCUGAUGUAACAAACGUACACCAACGUUCCAGUGGCUUCCUACAAGAGUUCUAUUCUUCCUCAUGAAAAAUUUCAGACUACAUUCCUGGUUGUCAGGAAGCUCCCCUCCACAUGAUGACUCAGGGACUCAUUUUGUUCCUCAUGGCUCUGCCCUGUCUUGUGCAUGUUGUUGGUGAAGUUGAUAAAGGAACUUAGAAAGCCAUUUUCUGUGGAGGCAUAAUCCAAGUGAUGCCUAUCAUACCAGCUCCUAUUCCCUUGGUAGGAAUUUACUCACACAACCACCUCUAUUUUAGAGGGAAGCAGGGAGACUUAGUGUAACUGUAUGCCCAGAAAAGAAAGGUCAACUGAGGAUUUCAAGUAUCUACCAGUCUUAAGUGAAUAUAGAGAAUUCUAGGUGGAGAAAACUAAAGAAAACAGAGACAGAGGAACAAAGUAAGUGAAGGUUGCAGAGUACGGAAUGAAGGAGCUGGAAGUGGCAACGACAUUCUACACUAGAGGAGAGGAUGGGGUAGUUUCUCAAUGCAUGGAAAAUCUAUUCUCUCGGAAGACCUGGUGGUGCUGGAGGCUUGAAUUCUCUUCUGUCAGUAGCUACAGAAAAUCAAAGAAGGAAAUAUCAAACUGUGUUUUCAGGGCCACUGACUCUGUGACUUCCGCUGUCUGGCCUUCAUGAAGCCAGGCGGUCAAAUGGGACACACAGAAACUCGAAUCAGUGAGUCCUUCCUCCUGGCCUGAGGCCCCAGCUUGAUCCCACAACAGGGAAAAUUCUGGAGGUUUCUGUGUUGACCUGGGUGGUAGUUAUGCAGCGGUGUUCCCUUUGUGACAAUUCAUCAAACCAUUCACAUAAUGUGUUGCCUUUUCUGUAGGUAUUUUUUUCUUCAAUGAAUAGUUUAAUAAACACAAAAAAGAAAAUAUGGUCAUCUUAUCUUUGGACAGUCUCUCAAAUGUUUUAUAAUUAAUUAAAUUCUUUAACUUAUGUAUU